UCCGGUGGCAAUAGCGGAGGGGCAACACCUGUUCCCAUUCCGAACACAGUAGUUAAGCCCUCCAUCGCCGAUGGUACUUGGCUGGCAACGGCCCGGGAGAGUAGGUAGCCGCCGGAU
rnacentral:rRNA from 1 species